ensembl:lncRNA
CCCACUGAGAACCAGUUGUCACUGCUUUACGUGAAGUGCAGGAGAAGGAGGGUAAGACUGGACAAGAAAUGGAGACAAUGGCUGAAUGCUUACAUGCUGGAGACCAAGGUUUGGAAGUGCUGCCUGCAUGUUUAUCAAGACUCCUAGAAUCAUUUCAAGAUAUUGGCCUGCGUGGAAAGAGAGCUGAAAGCUGCACAAAGGCUGUGACGGAGAUUUCCCAGCGCUUGCUUUGUGACAUUGAGCAAUCUGAUGGCUGCUGUUAUCUCCACCCGUGGGGAAAUUGUGCUUGGAAAACCACCCGGAGCAUUCAGUAGUGCUACCAACAGCACCAACACCAAUGCAACUCUCUCUUUG